UACGGAGGGUGCGAGCGUUGUCCGGAAUCACUGGGCGUAAAGGGCGCGUAGGCGGCGCGACAAGGCGGCGGUGAAAGUCCGGGGCUCAACCCCGGAUCGGCCGUGGCGACUGUCGCGCUGGAGCACAGUAGAGGCGGGUGGAAUUCCGGGUGUAGCGGUGGAAUGCGUAGAGAUCCGGAAGAACACCGGUGGCGAAGGCGGCCCGCUGGGCUGUGGCUGACGCUGAGGCGCGACAGCGUGGGGAGCGAACGGG
rnacentral:rRNA from 1 species